GACAGGGGGUGCAAACGUUGCUCGGAAUCACUGGGCGUAAAGCGCACGUAGGCGGUUUUGUAAGUCAAAUGUGAAAUCCCACGGCUCACCCGUGGAAUUGCGUCUGAUACUGCAAAGCUUGAGGAUGGGAGGGGAGAGUGGAAUUCCUGGUGGAGCGGUGAAAUGCGUAGAUAUCAGGAGGAACACCGGUGGCGAAAGCGACUCUCUGGUCCAUUCCUGACGCUGAGGUGCGAAAGCUAGGGGAGCAAACGGG
rnacentral:rRNA from 1 species